rnacentral:rRNA from 1 species
CGGGGCCCGCACAAGCAGCGGAGCGUGUGGUUUAAUUCGAUGCAACACGAAGAACCUUACCAAGGCUUGACAUGACAGAAGUAGCUGAAGGAAACGGAUGCGACCUGUUAAAUCAGGAGCUGCCACAAGUGCUGCAUGGCUGUCGUCAGCUCGUGCCGUGAGGUGUUGGGUUAAGUCCCGCAACGAGCGCAACCCUCGUUGCCAGUUAAAUUCUCUGGCGAGACUGCCCGCAAAACGGGGAGGAAGGUGGGGAUGACGUCAAGUCAGCAUGGCCCUUAUGCCUUGGGCCACACACACGCUACAAUGGAUGGUACAAUUGGUUGCAAGAGCGCAAGCUGGAGCCAAUCCAAUAAAGCCAUUCUCAGUUCGGAUUGCAGGCUGAAACCCGCCUGCAUGAAGUUGGAGUUGCUAGUAAUCGUAGGUCAGCAUACUGCGGUGAAUACGUUCUCGGGCCUU